CACGUGUUCACACCAGCUGCCUCCACCAACAGAGCCUGGGAAGCAGGGUGAGCACUGAGCACAGGGCAGUCAGUGCUGCAGCAGUUUCCUUCCAUGUACAGAAACCAGAGCUGCUAGGGCCGCAUAUUUUGAUGGAGGCCAGGAUGAGCUGUGCAUUUGACAUGUCCAGUGUGAAUCACUGCAGUUCACCAUCUGGCUCUGGGUGAAAUGGAUGGGGAAGCCUGGCACAGUCUGCGAGUGAGUUACAGGUGAUGGAUAUCCAGGCUGAGGACAAAGCAAAACUUCUGAAGAAACAGGAAAGGAGGUGGAGCUUUUUCACUGUCAGGAAACAUUGCAAAAUCUUUCUCAGGAAAAAAAAAAGUGGUGAAGAUGUGUGUUAGAAGAACAGUCAACCUUCCCAACAUGAAAGCUUCUCCUGUUUGUUUGAUGUCUCAGUUCCUUGGACUUUCUCAGAUGAAAUAAAAGAGGUUCUCAUUAUCAUGUUGAGGUGUCACCUCUGAGAAAAAGACUCUUGGGCUUUAUGAAAAAUGCUGUCUAAACAGAGGGAAUGGCCCAUGAAAGUACCCCAGGGCCUGAUCUAGGGUGAUGCCCAGAGAUGCACAGGAAGAGUUAGGAAUCUGGGAGAGGGACCUGAGUGAUUUUUC